rnacentral:rRNA from 1 species
AGGGAUCAUUAUAGAGUUUUCUAAACUCCCAACCCAUGUGAACUUACCUUUUGUUGCCUCGGCAGAAGUUAUAGGUCUUCUUAUAGCUGCUGCCGGUGGACCAUUAAACUCUUGUUAUUUUAUGUAAUCUGAGCGUCUUAUUUUAAUAAGUCAAAACUUUCAACAACGGAUCUCUUGGUUCUGGCAUCGAUGAAGAACGCAGCGAAAUGCGAUAAGUAAUGUGAAUUGCAGAAUUCAGUGAAUCAUCGAAUCUUUGAACGCACAUUGCGCCCAUUAGUAUUCUAGUGGGCAUGCCUGUUCGAGCGUCAUUUCAACCCUUAAGCCUAGCUUAGUGUUGGGAAUCUACUUCUCUUAGGAGUUGUAGUUCCUGAAAUACAACGGCGGAUUUGUAGUAUCCUCUGAGCGUAGUAAUUUUUUUCUCGCUUUUGUUAGGUGCUAUAACUCCCAGCCGCUAAACCCCCAAUUUUUUGUGGUUGACCUCGGAUCAGGUAGGAAUACCCGCUGAACUUAAGCAUAUCAAUAAGCGGAGGAAAAGAAACCAACAGGGAUUGCCUUAGUAACGGCGAGUGAAGCGGCAACAGCUCAAAUUUGAAAUCUGGCCCUUGGGUCCGAAUUGUAAUUUGUAGAGGAUGAUUUUGGUGCGGUAUCUUCCGAGUUCCUUGGAACAGGACGCCUUARAGGGUGAGAGCCCCCGUACGGUUGAAUGCCUAGCCUCUGUAAAUCUCCUUCGACGAGUCGAGUAGUUUGGGAAUGCUGCUCUAAAUGGGAGGUAAAUUUCUUCUAAAGCUAAAUAUUGGCCAGAGACCGAUAGCGCACAAGUAGAGUGAUCGAAAGAUGAAAAGCACUUUGAAAAGAGGGUUAAAUAGCACGUGAAAUUGUUGAAAGGGAAGGAUUUGUGACCAGACUUUUUCUGGGCGGAUCAUCCGGGGUUCUCUCCGGUGCACUUCGCCCAGUAAAGGCCAGCAUCGGUUUUCGGCGUGGGAUAAAAGCAGUAGGAAUGUGGCUCUCUACGGGGAGUGUUAUAGCCUAUUGUAUAAUACCGCGCUGGGGACCGAGGUUCGCGCU